rnacentral:rRNA from 1 species
CCUACGGGUGGCAGCAGUGAGGAAUAUUGGUCAAUGGGCGCGAGCCUGAACCAGCCAAGUAGCGUGAAGGAUGACUGCCCUACGGGUUGUAAACUUCUUUUAUAAAGGAAUAAAGUGAGGCACGUGUGCCUUUUUGUAUGUAUUUUAUGAAUAAGGAUCGGCUAACUCCGUGCCAGCAGCCGCGGUAAUACGGAGGAUCCGAGCGUUAUCCGGAUUUAUUGGGUUUAAAGGGAGCGUAGAUGGGUUGUUAAGUCAGUUGUGAAAGUUUGGGGCUCAACCGUAAGAUUGCAAUUGAUACUGGCAGCCUUGAGUAAAGUAGAGGUAAGCGGAAUUCGUUGUGGAGCGGUGAAAUGCUUAGAUAUAACGAAGAACACCGAUUGCGAAGGCAGCCUACUAAACUGCCACUGACAUUGAUGCUCGAAAGUGUGGGUAUCAAACAGGAUUAGAUACCCUAGUAGUC